UGUAAACAGAGAUUUGAGAUGAAUAAAAUCAGUAGCAAUGAUUGAGCCUAACAUUCUCUGCUUCAGUAAAUUUUCAUGCAUUCUUUGCACCUUUGUUUUCAGACCUUGUAGUUGUACACACUCGAACAAUUUAAGCAAAAUCUGGGCCACAUAAGUAAAUGAAAACAGGCAAUGGUGAAACAGGUGUCUAUGGUUUUACUGCAGAAUGAUGUUAUUCAUAGUUGUGGUUCUUAAUUGACAACGGUUAGUCUAUUGUUCUGAGUGUUUGAAAUCAACAGAAAAUAGCUCUCAUCUCAAGGUUCCUGAAAUACUGCAGCAGAAGGCUGAUGAUGAGCCUUUGGUGAAGUUGACAGAAAAACAUAUGGUUGAGGGUAAUAAUUUUGAGUGUUUGGUAAUUUGCUCUAUUCUUCAGAAAUCCAUGGACAGUACCUUUCAUCUUGAGGUUGCUCAAACACCGCAACAGAAGGAUGAUGAAACUUUGAUGAAGUUGCCAGAAAAGCUCAUGGGAUUUGUGGAUAGUAGCUCUCAUCUUGAGGUUCCACAAAUAGUUCAACAAAAGGCUGCUGAGACACGAUCAGAGAAACAAUUUUGAGUGCUUGAGUUCCACGGAAAGUAGCUCUCAUCUUGAUGAUGUUCUGCAAAUUGAUCAACAAAUAGCUGCUAAGACUUUGAUGAAGAUGAAAGGAACGAAGAUGGUUGAGAAUAAUAGUUCGGAAUGCUUGAUAUCUACUCCUUCUGAAAUAGACACUAGUGAAAUCGGCAGAAAAACACUUGGUUGAGAGCAACACUCUUAACUCUUAAGGGCUUGGCUUGGUAAGUACUCUGGCUAACAUGUUUGACAUGUUGAUUUUAUGAAUGAGCUUGUGCUAUUACUCUCUCCGUCCACAAAUAAUCUUCGUGAUGAUUGUAUAAAGGGAUCGGAAUUCAUGUUUAAGUUUUACUUUGCUACAUAUGUUGAUUGUAUAAAAGAUAUCAUUGUCCAUGAUUUUCUCCCGUAUGAAAAAUCGUGUUCCUGCAAGAGUUAUGGCUAAAGUAAGUUUUUGAUAUCAUGUACUGCGAAAUACUUCUCUGAUGCAUUAGUUAAAUUUCUGCUGUGAAAAAUGAUUGGAGUGGUAAUAUUAAUUAUUCCCAAACCAUUCAACAGUGUUCUACAAUGAGUUGUGAUGUUGAGAAUUAUUUUUCUCUCAUACACAUAUUGACUCCAUUACAACGAUAAUGGGUUGAAUAGAUGAUGUCCCAUACUAUGAUAUACUAGUGUGCUCAACCUUGCCAUUACUAAAAUUGAACAGAUCCCCGCCACAGAUUAUUUCUUUUAUCCCGAAAAUGUAACAAAGAGAGAGUUUGAACUUUGAAGUGUGGAAGGCGGAAUACAAAGAUGAUAAAAUGUAUGGUGGUAUUAAAGCUUUCGUAGUGUUCGAAGAAGUCAUUUCUGAGAAAAGUAACAAACUCAAGUUCAAGCAACAUUUUCUACUAUAUUACCGCAAUUUAGAAGGUGGACCAUGGUGCACAAUGAGCAUGGUAGUCACCCUUGUUUGUCCAACGCAAAAACGUGGUUGUAUAAGCCCUUUGUACUUGUAUGUAUUGAGGUUCGCCAAUGAAUCAAGUGGAUAUUGGGGUACAUUUAGAUACGAUUGGGGUAAAUACGUUUUGAAAUGGCUUAUCCAAGACCGUCUAAAAUAUGACACCGGAAAAGUGGGAGGAUAUGGCGGUUGCACACUCCUAUUGUCUGUGAGCUUUCAUUCUUAUCUUGUUCAGAAUGUGUGCUUAUGUUUUCGGUUUCAAAAUCAUUGAUUUCAUUGUUUGUACCAAGUACUAAACCUUUGGUCCUCUGUUAUAGUUGAUCUACCUAGAUAGAAUUUCCUAUGCGAGGACAGUUGGAUGGAACCACGAAGAAUGUAGGCUUCGGUUUUGGAACCAAGCUAAAUUUGCUAUGGCAUUCAAGUCUCACUUAAAACCUAAUGGUGAAUAUGGUGCUGCUGUAAUCAGUAUUACGUAGUACUAAGUAUUAAAGUUGUUACUUAGGCAUCUAUCUUGUGUAUAUUUGCAGGUAGUUGAAAACGUGGUUUAUGGUAAGCCUUACCCUAACAAAUACUUUCUCCGUUCUUAUUUACAUGACACAAUCGAGUUUUUGGCCCUAUUCACACAAGCUAUUUUGACUUCAUUUUGUGAUUUAUGCUUAAGAAAAAAUAUAAUCGUGUAAGAUCUUAUUAGAAUCGUCUCAAUAAAUAUUUUUUAAAUAUCAACUUUUUAUAAUUUUUUCUUAUCCAUAAUGGAAGAUAUUAAUGAUUGAAAUUGUGCGUUGGCAAACAUGCCUAAAUUAUUGUGUCAUUUAAAAAAGAACAGAGGACGUAGCAUUUUUCGUGUCUCCAAGAGUACAUGCCAACUUGCCAAGUGAUGGAUUUUCAGACCAUUUUGUAUCGCUGCAUUCAGUCCUUGACUUAAUUGAGGUUCCAUUUGGUAAGGCGUAAAACGUUUUCAGUGGAAAAUGAUUUUCCAUGGAAAACAUUUUUCGAGGGAAAACACAAUUCUAAACUAGUUUUCCUUUGUUUGGUAACUUAAAGGAAAAUGGGAGAAGAUGGUGAAGAUUGAGGGGGAAGAAAGGGGAGGGAGGUAAGUAGGAAAGAAGAAAAAUUGGUUUCCCUCCCUUUCAAAUGGAAAAGGGUUUUCCACCUUUGAGGGAGUCAUGGAAAAUUAUUUUACAUCCCACCCAACCAAACAACGUAAAAUGAUUGAAAAGGCAAAAAUCAUUUUCCAUGAAAACAUUUUACGCCCUACCAAACGGAGCCUGAAAGAUGGCGAUGUAUUAUAGUUUUUUAUUUCUGAUCAAUACAAGUAAUGUAAUCUG